rnacentral:rRNA from 1 species
CACGUAGGGGGCAAGCGUUGUCCGGAUUUAUUGGGCGUAAAGAGCGCGCAGGCGGUUCGGUAAGUCGGGUGUUAAACCCCCAGGCUCAACCUGGGGACGCCACUCGAUACUGCUGUGACUAGAGUCCGGUAGGGGAGCGUGGAAUUCCUGGUGUAGCGGUGAAAUGCGUAGAUAUCAGGAGGAACACCAGCGGCGAAGGCGGCGCUCUGGGCCGGUACUGACACUGAGGAGCGAAAGCGUGGGUAGCAAACAGG